GGUCACAUUCAACAGUGCUUCAACGUAGUCUUUCACCACCCUUCCAGUAGUAAGGCCCGCGCUUUGUGUCAUACAAUAGACCUGUCAAUCAAACUUAACACAAAGGGAUACCGCCGUGGGUGGUCCCCCGUGGGUGGUCCCAGGGGGAUGUUUUGUUAAGGGACCUGUCAAUCAAACCUAAGUGGUUUGGACAGUGAACCGUAAGUACUGUGUUAAUGGAUCUAAAGGUCAUUGACCUCGCACUGUUUGUAUACUUCUGAAUUUAUUAUUUAUUUGGCACAAUGAUUAAUUUAAUUGGGCUGACCAACAAACCUAAGAUGUUGGGUACUGAACCGUAAGUACAGUGUUAAUGCAAGUGUACACACAGGACCUCACAUUGUAUGUGUACAAAACCCAUUGAAACGGGAUUCUUCGAUAGAUCAAUACUUAUCGAUUUUCGAAUAAUUGAAUCGAUUAUUUGACUCUUCAAAUACUCCAUACCGCAAAACAAGUGCAAUCUACCCAGGAUGUUUACUUUUUCUUGAAAAAUACACAUCCUCGUUAGAAUGCACAUGUUUUAAGCCGACGAAAACCCACAAUUGGGACCUAUCAAUCUUGAAAUAUAUUUAUUUAUUUGUGUUUUAUUUUUUAAUUGGCAGAUCGAUUAAUUUAAUAGGACCUGGCAAUCAAACCUAAGUGGUUUGGACAGUGAACCGUACCAUGGAAUACGAAAGAAGGAACAUUCAUUGCUUUACACGAAACUAAAUGAUGUCUGAGCAACAGGAGGCUGAAAAUGUUGCACCAAACGUUGGAUGUCCCUGCCCGCCACCCCGUGCGAUUAAAAGAAAGCCGAAGAUCACCAGAACAACGAAAAUAUUACAUUUGAAAAUAGAUGAAUUUGAUGUUGAAUUUGAAAAUAGACUUUCAAUAAAUUGUAAGUUUAAACCCUUAAA